rnacentral:sRNA from 1 species
GUAACUCUGACGUUGAAAUUGCCAUCGUUGACGAGUCGCAUAUAGAUGCCUAUUUAAAAG